UGUAUGGUGUAUGGUGUAUGGUGUAUGAGUGUUUCUACGAACUGAUUCAUUAAUAGCAGAAAACACGCAGUUUUUUUUUUUUUUUUCUUCUUUUUUUUGUUACAUAUACAUAUAUGUACUUAUACAUGUAAAUAUUUUUAAUAUAUAACAAUCACAUAUUUGCUUUUAUCAAAAAUUAAACGCAGAUUAAAGAAUUGAAAAAUAAGUUGAGAAUGAAAGAUGAAGUUAUAGAAUAUACCAACAGAGAGAUAGAAAGUAUUAAGGAAUCGUUCUGGUACACACAUUCAUAUAAUUAUGUAUUAAAAAAAAAAAAAAGAAAAAUUAUUUAUAUGUAUUUAAGUUAAUCUGCGUUAUAAUACUAUUGCUAAUAAUAUUAUGUAUGUCUUAAUUUUUUUUUCUUCUUUGCAUAUAUAGUAACGAGUACGAAAACAAAAUAAAAAAAUUGAAUGAAGAUAAGGAUAAAGAAAUGCAUAUAAUGAAAAAGAAGUAUAAUGAGCUGCACGAAGAAAUAAUCCUUAACAAAAACGAAGUAUCUAAACUGACUAAAAUGUUAGAAGAUGCAAAUAAAAAAAUAAAAAAAAGAGAUAUGGAGAUGUACAUACUACUCGAGGAAAAUAAAAAACAAAAAGAAAAGGCUGCCAAAAAAAUGACUAAAGUUAAUGAGUUGUUAAGUAAUCUACAAAAGGAAUAUGUUGAUAAUAUUCCAUAAAAAAAAAGUAAAAAAAAGUAAAAAAAAAAAAAACUGGAAACUGAAAUAUACUAAGUUAGACUUUAUCAAAUACAAGUGUUUUUUUUUUUUUUUAUAAAUUUUCAAAAAUUGCUAAGCUUUAUGUCAUAAUGUUACACAUUAUAAAAACGUGUAUAUAUAUUUUUGAAUGUGUGUGUUUGUUCUAAGGAUAUGAAUAUAUAUUAUAUGUAUAUAUACCGAAGGUAUAAUCUACCUUCUUUUCAUUUUUUCUGUAUGUCUUAUUUUUUUCUUUUAACACAUGAAUAAAUGAACGUAUUAAUUUGUUUUUAUUUUUCA
rnacentral:lncRNA from 1 species